rnacentral:rRNA from 1 species
UACGGAGGGGGCUAGCGUUGUUCGGAAUUACUGGGCGUAAAGCGCACGUAGGCGGCUUUGUAAGUUAGAGGUGAAAGCCCAGGGCUUAACUCUGGAAUUGCCUUUAAGACUGCAUCGCUAGAAUCGUGGAGAGGUGAGUGGAAUUCCGAGUGUAGAGGUGAAAUUCGUAGAUAUUCGGAAGAACACCAGUGGCGAAGGCGACUCACUGGACACGAUUGACGCUGAGGUGCGAAAGCGUGGGGAGCAAAGCA